CUUGCUACUUUGCCGGCGAGCGGCGGACGGGUGAGUAAUGUCUGGGAAACUGCCUGAUGGAGGGGGAUAACUACUGGAAACGGUAGCUAAUACCGCAUAACGUCGCAAGACCAAAGAGGGGGACCUUCGGGCCUCUUGCCAUCAGAUGUGCCCAGAUGGGAUUAGGUAGUAGGUGGGGUAACGGCUCACCUAGGCGACGAUCCCUAGCUGGUCUGAGAGGAUGACCAGCCACACUGGAACUGAGACACGGUCCAGACUCCUACGGGAGGCAGCAGUGGGGAAUAUUGCACAAUGGGCGCAAGCCUGAUGCAGCCAUGCCGCGUGUAUGAAGAAGGCCUUCGGGUUGUAAAGUACUUUCAGCGGGGAGGAAGGCGAUAAGGUUAAUAACCUUGUCGAUUGACGUUACCCGCAGAAGAAGCACCGGCUAACUCCGUGCC
rnacentral:rRNA from 1 species